AUUGAACGCUGGCGGCAGGCCUAACACAUGCAAGUCGAGCGGAGCGGCUGACGGGUGAGUAAUUCCUAUGAAUCUGCCUGCUAGUUGGGGAUAACGUCCGGCAACGGGCGCUAAUACAUCAUACUAUCAUCUGAGCCUAGUUCGGAGUAGCUAGUUGUUGGGGUAAAGGCCUACCAAGGCGACGAUCCGUAACUGGUCUGAGAGGAUGAUCAGUCACACUGGAACUGAGACACGGUCCAGACUCCUACGGGAGGCAGCAGUGGGGAAUAUUGGACAAUGGGCGAAAGCCUGAUGCAGCCAUGCCGCGUGUGUGAAGAAGGUCUUCGGAUUGUAAAGCACUUUAAGUUGGGAGGCGUUACCAACAGAAUAAGCACCGGCUAACUUCGUGCCAGCAGCCGCGGUAAUAC
rnacentral:rRNA from 1 species